GUGAGGGCAUGGCCUGUGAGGUGACUGUGUGGCUCAGUGAGGGCGUGGUCUGUGAGGUGGCUGUGUGGCUCAGUGAGAGCAAGCACAAUCAUGAGUCCAUGAGGGUUGGACUCAGGAGCUCUCUCUCUCUCUCUCUCUCUCUCUCUCUCUCUCUCUCUGGUCAGUGUAGGUCAAUAGAGGCCACUGGCAAUCUAGGAUGGCUCUGGAUGGCCAGUGUCAAGGUCGAAGGAAACAGAGUUGAUCUGAGCUGCAGACGGCAAAGACACAGAGAAAAGGAGACAGACAAGGAGGAGAUGUGUGUUUCCUUGCGAAGCAAGGAGAGAUGGGAAGCUGCUGAAGCUGAGCUCUUGGGGAGACAUGGGCAUAUCCACUGUGACUCCCAGCUGUCACCUGAUUUGCUUACCAAGCUCCUGUGAGACUUCCUCACACGGCUGGUUGGUCAGCAGGAUGUAGCCUCACCCGACAGAGGCUAAGUGUCUCAGCCAUGGCACUCGCUGGAAAGUCUUCCCUGAUGGGCACUGUGGAGGGGCUGCAGCGGCUGUCGGCUAGUGUUGGGGGACAGAGGGACAGAGGGACAGACAACAUUACUACCAAAGUCUGCCCAAGACCAGUCUGAGAAAAGUCAUACCGUGGUCAGUUGACUUACUCUGGACCUGCGACGAUGGUCUGACGCAUAAAAACCCACUAAGAAAAUCCGUUGUAAUGAUAGAGGGAAGAGAAGGCUGGGUCAUCCCAGCAGCAGCUGAAAAACACAUGUAUGAUCAUGACUCAGUGAUAACUAGAGACCAGAGACAAGAGAAACUUCAGGUGGUAAGGCACAGCCAGGAUAAGAUCGUCUAAUAUGAUAUCCACACCAAGGACUGGACGUUUUGUAAGUCUAAAUGAGGGAGGGUGCAUCGUGACCACUGUGUGCGUGGCCCAGAGAACCCGACCUAUAAAAGAGAUGAACAGCACACACUGUGGGCUGGUCACGUAGCUCUGCUGCAGUACUUGCCCAGCGUGCACCGGGCAUUGAGAUCAUCUCAAGAGCCUUGGGGAAGCAGACAGGGUGGGGCUCAGGGAGAAGAAAAAUCCAUCUAUCUUUGCAAACGACCUGAUAAUAUUGACGGAAGAUUCAAGAAAUUGCCCUUAGAAAAAUCUAUGAUAGCUAUCAAGUCAUCUCACAAAGCUGUAGGCUGUGUGGCUGCAACAGCAACAAACAAUCCAUUGUGGUGCUGCGUUCAAGCCAUGUAAAACUUGAAAAAUAAAGUUUAUAGAAGCACACACCUGAGCAGAAAGCUAAUAAGACAAAGAAAGAAGAGCACAGACACCAGCACUGCUCGGAGAAAUUGCCGAACUAAAUAAGUACUAAGCGGACGAAUAGACGAGUGUGUGAACUGUGUUGGUCAGCAUCUUUAAGAUGCGCCUUUCCUAAGUGGAUGUACAGACAGACAGCCAUCCUCACCACAAACACACGCGCGGGUGUGGGCGCCUGUGUGUGAGCUAACAGACAUACACAUAUGUGCUGGUGCACACCCUUCAUGGACGUGUCCAGACUUUAAGAUCUAGAAGGAGCGGCACCAAGAGAUUCCGAUAUUUGAGGAGGGGUGCGUCUGGAACACCCAGGGUGCUGGGUUAGAAGCUGGACCAUCUUCAUGGUCAAAAGGAAGAUGGCCUCCCAAUAAGUUCUUAGAACCGAAACCAAGCCCAUCUUUACGAGACAGUACCACGGACACAGAACUUCAAAAAGGCAAAAUUUUCCCAUUUUGUCUCUGUCCUCGCUCGCAGCAGCAUGCCUGGUUCUGUGAAUGACACAGGUCAGAGAUAAACAGAAGAUUUUGGACACCAGGCGCCCAGGGAGGAAAGACGCAGACUGAACAAGGGUUGGCUGAGUGCCGAGGACUAGACUGCCCGACUGUCAGCCCGCCAGCUCUAAUUUGCAAUAUGGGGAUCAAGAGAAAGCUCCGGUGAGGAUCUCAUGAGAUAAAGGCCUAGCGGCAGCCGGUCUGCAGACUGAGGUGUGGCUUCCUGAUUUUACACACACUCGGGACACCUUUGAGAGGGUGACAUUCCUCUGCUUUCUUUUGUAUUGCUGUCCCGAGAGAUUAAAUUCUUGCUUUCUUUCCUUGACGAUCCCAGGGAAAAUUGUUUCACCCGGCAUCGCGUAAGCACUAAGGACCGCGGGGCCCUGCUGACUGAAUGGCCUUGAACAUCUCAAGCCCCUCCCCUCGGGGCGGCCCCUCCCAUGACUCCACAUUCAAUGGAUGGAAUCCACGUCUCUCUGCGAGUCUUGCCUCAGCAGAGCCACAAAGGCAUGCAGCGGGAUCCAGCAUCUCACUUUUGUUUUCCCAGCCAUCUUUUGUGGUGUGGCCUGGGAAAAGCCUUAAUGAGCCUACCCCUCCACCACAGAAGGUCUGGUCGGAGGGAGGAGGCAGCUUCUUCCACCUGCGGGAGGGGAGGGAGGGGACGGGGCGGGGGGUGAGGCGGGCAUCCACUCAGGCUCGCUGGAACAAUGCUGCCUUCAGCCGCCAAGGAUGUGGGGAUGCGAGGCAAACAAGACCGCACAAAAGAUUAACUUGAUUCAAGAAAAGAUAUUUCAAAAGCCCAGCGGAGAGGCUAUCCUGCUAAAAUUUCAAGGCCGGCGAAUGUGAAAAUGCAGAGGAGGCCCCCGUGAAGCCUGCCGGGUCCUGAAGGGAGGGCCCUGAAGUCUGAACUGCAGCUAGCAUGGGCUGCUAGGGCCAUGCAUUCUGUCCUCGUGUUCCUAAACACACGUGGAGCGACGGAGUUAAUGUCAAAAGCCCGAGUCAUUGUGGUUUAACCAGCUACAGAGGAUGAAGUCAAUCCAAUCGUGAAAGCUGACAGGGAAGCCCACAUCCCCCCAAACAUGAAAUCCCUCCGUGGGAUAAAUGGGGAAAUGAAGGGUGGGGGCCUGAAAAGUGAAAGCGAGCUUUGAGGAGAGGCAAGAAGUUCAGCAGUCACUGACUGGGUUCCUUUGGGAUGCUGCGAAAUUGCUGAAAUUCAAAUAAAAACAAUCCAUUAUGUUUGCUGAUCUCUAAUUUGCUCCUGGGACAGCAGAAGUGU